CUUACUUUCUCCCGCACGCAAGAGGUAUUCGCCAAAUGCCAGUUAGGUCGGAAGAGACAAAAUAGAAAGGCGUCUUUUUGCGCCUCUUGUUCAUCGAGCAAUGUUUCAGAAAAAAUGAGGACAUACAAGGCACUGUUUCCAACUAAAUCUUUUAUCCAAGAAAACCAAUAUACAGUAAACUACCACUUGAACGUCACUUAAGCAAAUUAUUCAGCUGUACGAACUUUUUUUGUAUCCCCCAUCGAAACCCCAUUCAACCCAAUGCAAAUGCCUUUCAGUUUAACAAAAUUCAGUACAGUGGCAUUUCAGUUCUGUGAUCAUAUUCUGCUACAUCAUCAUCAUCAUGAUUUUUAUUUUUACCACUGGAUACAAGGUGAAAAAGGGAGAGCCGGGAAAAAAGCCGAAAUCUCUUCGGCUUGACAAAGUUCCGGUCUCCCAGACAGGCACGGAAGCGGCUGGUGUAGCAAUACAAUUACGCAGAAAGUGUGGAUAUAAGAGUUUUUUAAACACAAAUACAUAUAGAAAUUUUCAUGUUAUUACAUGGAAACUAGUUGUAAUACAGUUGUGUCAAAUGACUCCCAGUAUACAAUUAUAAUCUGUUAUCUUGCAUAUUAUUAUUUAACACAGACUCAGUUGCAUAUAUCAUAGUGGACUUGGAAGCACCGAACGAGUACGGAUGCUGAUCAAAUUUUUUCUGAUCGCACAGAUCGUGCUGUCGAGGACCGGAUUCGUCGACGCAGGGUCUGAGCAUGCACUGCAUCAGGCCUAUCUACUGCUACCUCCGGCUGUCUGCCCUGCUGGCUUCAUCGGACAAAACAAGUCGCAGGGAGCUGUACCACGUGCACUGCACUGGGACCACCUGACCAGCACGGUAACGUCGACGGAGACAUCGUGGCACCCGGAUAAAAGCAGCAGCCUUUUCGACGUUCCCUUCAGUGGACUUGGAAGCACCUAACGAGCACGGAUGCUGAUAAAAUUUUUUCUGAUCGCACAGGCGAUCUUUGGAAACUUCAGUGAUACCCGACGACUGGCGAAGGGCCAAAGUAAUACCUGUGCACAAAUCUGGCUCUAAACUCGACAGUUCCAUCACUUGUGCAUGUGCAACACAUUGGCGGAGGCAAUACGAACUGCAUUUCUCACUAGCUGGACAAGUCGGAAUGGCAGUGCACCUUGGAGAACAAGACUCGAAUUGUGAAAGUCUGGUGGUUUCACAGAACUUUGUUUUAUGUCAAGAUGGGCUGACACCAUGUCACCUGAUGCUGUCACUCUCUGGAAAUGCCUAUUUUCUGCCUGCCCAGGAGGAGCUCCAAGCAAUAAUCACAGAUCAAAACGUCUGAUUGUGGUAUUCACCCAUUUCUAAUGUGCCAUCUUAACAAAACUUCCUUGGCGAUUUUUGUAUGCUUUACCGCAUAACCGAUGGGUAUUGCGGCGAAGCUCACUUUUGAAAAUUGGUUGCAAUGUGCAACACAUUGGACCCCUGUCCAUUUCUUUUUUUAAUAAAAAUUGUGUGCGCAUUUGAUUUCUCUUUCAUUUUAGGGGCUUUUGUCCUUUCUAUGCUAGUUUACACUUCGGACACAGAGACAGCAGGCGUGUGUUUCACUCUGGGGCAUGUUAGAAUCUGUACGUAAACCAUGGCAAAUAAAUCAGUCAUGUGUGUUGGCAUUUCUUCUGCAUCUUCUUAAAUUUGACCCACCAGAUAAUUCAAUCUGUUUCGUCAGUCCCGUCAGAGUCGAAUUAACGGAAUGAAGUCAACUGCAUUUUGCUUGCUGCUCAGAAGUAUGAGCUUGAAUAAAUAACAUAGCAUUACAACACAUAGGACAUAAAGGAGACAAAUGAAGUGCUGCAACAUGUGCCAGCUUGCCUAAGUUAGCACUAUAUAAGCUUGAACCCAGAUGUGCCAGCUACAUUAAGGUUGUGACAAAAUGUAAAAUCGCAUGUGUUGGAGACUCAGUAGGUUGGCUUUCCUUCUUGAAAAAGUGUUGCAGAGUGCCUGUUAAGGAUUCACUGAUUGAUGCUGUCAAACUGUCAACAAGGCUGCCAAAAAAUUAUUCUUAAUACAACCCUUUCAUGGACACAACAAGGUAACAAAUUGUUUUGUGUGUGAAGCAUUAAGAGUAUAUUCGUGAUCAAAUAUUGUUCUUAAAAAGUGACCUCAACGAGACAGCACACGAGACUGCACAAGAUCUAACUCACCGUGUGAGCCCGGACUCCCUCUCGGCAGGAUGGGCAAGCGAGUGCGAUCCCCUCGUCACAACGAUCUCACCCAGCAUUACAAGUUAAUCAAGAGAACCAUGCCGCUACCGCACAAAGCACCCAAUAAAGCACAAGAAGUCACGUACAGGUGGCUUCAGACAGGCACCUACGCAUGCCCGGCCUUCCUGCACAAAAUCUUUCCGGACGUGCACCCUCACAAUGCGUGUCACUACUGUAAGGAUAUAGCUAGCCUUGAUCACAUGCUCUGGGCUUGCCCCCUGGUGCCAGGACCACCAAGGAAGAGUGGGACCGAGCUCCACACAGCUCGGACCUUGAAGCACAGCUCUGGGCUGUCCAUCGGGCCCGCAACGCGGUGGAGGGGCAUGGCCCACUGUGCGCUAAUCGCACGUACCGACGGACGUCAAGAAAUUUAUUCAUCCAUCCAUCAUCAAAGCAGUUGUCAGAAAACAUUCUGCAGGGAACAGCUAAAACACUAUGCAUUUCUCAUUACAGUGAUAUUAUGUGUGCGUGAGUUUAAUAAAUAGAUAAUUGCAGGUGUGUGUAUGGCAAAUUCAGAUGCUAACUUCACCAAAGUCAUAAAAGCACACAGCACUCUACUUAAAAGGAAUCUGAGCAUUUGGCCACUGUUGUGUCACUAAUGUGCACUGUCGUAGCCGUCUUCAUUACCAAGCAGAAAUACACCCAACAAACUAUUUUUCGGAUAUGCAUGAGAAUUCGGGUAUCCUUGCAACACUGCCACGUACCUCACAGAGGCAAUUAAUUAUAAGCACAGCUGAAAUUUCGGAUGCUGAAAUGCUUUGCCUUCAAAGUGCGGAAGGCACAACCAUUGUCGAAAGUGUUGUAUAAUGCCGGUUUUCAAGAGUCAACUUUGCUGCAAUAUAGCUUGCUACGGGAAGAGGCUUAUGCAAUGUAUCGUGGUGGAGCAUACCAGCAGUGAAAAGGGGCCAUUGUAAGAUGGCAUGAUUUAAAUUUUUUUAUUUACACACAUACAUACUCUCUUCUGUUACAGCACAAGUGCCAAGAAGCCUGAUAAGUGUUGUGGUUGGUCUACAAAAUUAAGAAAAAUUAAAUUAUGGGGUCUUACGUGCCAAAACCACUUUCUGAUUAUGAGGCAUGCCGUAGUGUGGGACUCCGGAAAUUUCUACCAACUGGGGUUUUUUAACAUGCACCUACAGUAAAUUUAAGUGCACAGGUGUUUUCGCCUUUUGCCCCCAUUGAAAUGCGGCAGCUCUGGCCGAGAUUCGAUCCUGCGACCUCGUGCUUAGCAGCCCAACACCACAGCCACUAAGCAACUAGGGCGGGUACAAAUUAAGUUCCUUGCCUACCUAAACAAAAAUGUUUGCAACAUGAUGUGCGUGGUAUACCGUCCUUGGGAAGGCAAGCUUAAUUGGUUGCUGUUGCCUUUGUGUCUUGCUUCACUCUUGAGCAGCGCUUACUGACUGCACAGUAAUAAUAAGCUCCACCAAAUGGCUAGAUUACUUCUGUACUACUCCAAGUGUUCCAAGAAGACUUUUGGAACAUGAAGUAGAAAAAAAAUUUCUGCUCCUAAACUGCUCCAGAAUGUCAACUUUGUGCUUGAAACCAUAAACUGUCUUGACCACCACUGAGGGGUUGAUCUUGAACAUCACUUAUAUACUUAAGAUAAAAUCUUGAGUAACACUUACUGGUUGUCUAAACAUUUUGAAAUGGUUUCACAGGUUCUAAUUUAACACUUAUAUGCACUUUUUAAAACAACAGUGAAUAACGAUUUCGGUAACAUAUUUCAGUAUUCUACAGUUGAUUUGGAGGAUUAUGCGCCAUCACUGGUCUGCAAUUAUGGAAGUUUAGAGAUAAAAAAAUGGGGGCAAUAAUGCCUACGUUUUACACAUUGUCAUUGUACAGAACACAACCUAUGCAACUUGCUAUAAAACUGAUUUAUAUAGUAUUUGAAAUUACCAUAAGAGUAUGUAAACAGCUGGGGUUUCAUAGUUCUAGGUUCUUGUUAUGUUUUAAACUAGCACCUCCCUUUAAAUGGCAGUAAAAGGCAUGCAUUAAUUUUUUUUUGGACUGCCUGAUUUUCUAAAUGUUUUGUUUUUGCAGUCCUCAGGGAACCACCCACCGCCACCAAGAAAAAGCACUUUUGACUGUAGCAGUAAUCAGUGAUUCGCCUAAUUGUCAAACAGUUCAGGAUGCCAAACAGCCUCGAGACAGCUGUACCUCUGACAGAAGGCACUAAUACACAGUGCAAUGCACUUUCUGCACUCUAGACUGUGGGAUUCUCAUCCCGUACCUUGGGUCAAAGGAACGACAAUCACAAGGGCAUUUAUUGCACCUUUCAUAGAUCAAUGCCUGCUAGCCGAGUUGCUAUCCACAAAACAUGCCGAUGGGCGUGCGACAAAUCGCGGAAGUCCGACUCACCGCGACCGGAUAGCGAGCGAAUAUGUUCGCCCCUUGCUGGAUCCCAAUGCCUGGUCGUUCACGCGUACGGUCACGCGAACGGUGGCUCUUUCGCACAAGGCCUCACGAGACGAUCUCGCAGAAGCAUGGAUCGGCGCACGGGCGGCACGUCCGUGCUGCUUGCCGUCCCGAACCAAAGAGGAAACAUGUUCUCCCUUGCGCCCCCAAGUAACCCUGCCAUGAGGCGGCGUUAGCAGCGCAACACUCGCGCCAUCUCUCGCGUGGCCUGGGGCCCGCGGCGAAGCCGUAAUGCAGGAGACGGAAGCUAUGCGGGAAAAACAACAUAUCAGGGGACGUGUGACAGUCGCGCAUCCCCACAAGACAAAUAUGAUAAGAGCUGUAUUAUGUGACCUAUUAUAACUCCGUGGUGACAAUACAGACAGGAUAUGCAGGGCAUAUAGCGAUGAGGACAGUAGCAAUGGAAUGAUAUCACCAGUAUACAGAGCGCUGAAUUCAUUCUUGCUCCGUUACUGAUAAUUGAGAACUCUAUCAAAUGAAAAAUUAAGAGAAAUAUCAUGUGUGAAGGAAUACUACUCAUCAUAUCUAUUGCAAUUAUUCUUGGACAGCAUUCCCUCUUUCUUGCUUUUAUUAUUAAGGCAUUUAUAUAGUACUGCUCACCUGCUGUUCCAUGUGUUCCAUCGACACAUAUACGAUCAGUUCCAAGCCUCUUGAAAAGCUCCUGUUGUGGUGUGGUCAUGAUGACUAGCAUAAAAUCUCUGUCAUCCAAAAGGUCCUCAUUUUUUUCUCUAAAAAAAUGUCACUUUUUGUCAGGUUGUCCUUGGUGUUUAAAGAAGAGCAAUGGGUUUUCCUUUUCACUAUGCAUCCUCUCAACCCAGAGUUGCACGCUCACAUAGUCAUUAUCGUGCAGCCGCUCGGUCUUCAAGACUCUGGCAUCCCUCAUUAUUUUGCGGAGAUCCUGCUUGCUUAACAGGUUAAUGCGGUGGAAUGUCUCAUCCACGUUGGACCGCACAUUAUCCAGUACUGCAUCCAUGGACACGCCUUCUCGCAGCUUGUCUUGAGAGAGUAGAGAAAAAGUGUAUAUUAGUUGAAGCAUAAGUAAAAAUUACCGAGCACGCAAGGAAGUGAAAUGGGCACUGAUGAACAUUUUUAAUAUCAUUAUUUAGAAUUCCUUUAAUUGAAUAAUGAGUUACAUUGACUUACAAAAACCUUUUGCAAUGGUGUGUGUUAAAUAGUUCAAGCUGUCGCAAUUUUUGUUCUUUUUAGGUUAGGUUAGGUGUUAUGCAGCCUUCAGCUGCUGAAGAGGCAAGAUUACAUUUCUGAAUUAUACUACACGAUUACAUUACAUUUGAAGAGGCAAGAUUACAUAUUAAAGUGUUUAAAUGUUUGG